AUGCACAAGUAAAAUGGAAAAUUAAUUGAAACAAGGACUGGUAAAACCAUGUAAUAAGGCAAAUAGUAGAGAGCUGCCUCAGGCAUAACAAUAGGACCAGUGCUCGUCCUCGCUAGCCCCGGAAUCGACAGCAGCAUUGUAAUCUUCC